CGGCGUCGAACUUCAGAGAACUCAUUGUGUCGCGGAUUCGAUUCCGGCGGACGGCGCCAAUCUGUUAAGAACAGAUGCCGUAAUAUAGCUCGGCGAUGAACACACAACAACAAUCCUAACAAUCUAUGAACUCAGAUUUACGUGGUUCGGCAAAUCAAAGGCCUACAUCCACGGCGGAGUCACUGCAUUCAAUAGAUUCAAUCAAGUAAUUCUCAGCGAUUACACUAUGAAGAUGAAUAACACAAAAGUAUCUUUCUCUCCAGAUCUUACCACUCUUGUUUACACUCUUCCUAUACAAAUGUAUCACAAUCUAGAAAAACUCAUCAAUCUCUAACUAAUGGAUUGAACACAGCAUAUAUAGAGAAACAACAAGGAAGAAAAUGUGAGCUCCUCGCCAGCUGCAGAAAUAUCAGUUAUAA
rnacentral:lncRNA from 1 species